AUUUAGCAACUGAACAACAACAAUAAUCUGCAUAAAGUCACAAAGCUAAGUGAAGAUAAAUUGAGAAUUCAGCUCCAGAUUUCCUGAUAGAAAUCCAGAUCGAGAUCACUCAUCCCAUUUCCCACUGCCUUCCUGCCCCUUUGGGCCCUGAGGACCAGUAGUGCAAUUCUAACACUUAACUACCAGACUAAGCAUAGACCCUGUAAGUUAAGGAUGUGGUUCCCAACAAGACUGCCCCCACGUCAGACAUGAGCCACAGAUUCUGAGGUUUCCAGGUCACCUGCACUUCUGACCCACUGGCAGCAAAUUUGGGGGUUUCCAGUAUCCUAUCAGGUUUGGCAGUUCAUUAGACUCAACAGAACUCAACAAAGUGCUGUACUUACAAUCAUAGUUGUAUUAUAAAGGAAUCAAAGAAGACCAGUUAAAAAAUGGACACAUAAGAUCGGCUAGUGUCAAAGAUUUUGAGCACUACCUCUCAUGAACCAAAUGAAGCGCAUGAUUCCUGGUCACCCCUGUUAGCUGCUAGUUAAUAAUAUGUUAUAAGUAGAGGCACUACCUGCGGCUGCUUGCUGAAAUCAUAGCAGAGAGAUGAAA